rnacentral:lncRNA from 1 species
CAUGUCCAACCCUCACGACUUGCGUUGAAACAGUAGAGGACGACCCCAGCAAGUAACCGAAGAGUGUGAGGUGUAGAAGAAGCGUCAGAUAGACCACAUAGCCAGAGGUCCAUGUCUAUAUAUAUAAUAGGGUAAAAACCUCUCUGGGGGAGGGGGUUCCAGGAGAAAUAAAACAUCUCCCCUAUUCUCCAUCUAUCUCCUCUCUGUAACUUUGAAAGACAACGGGAUGAACGAAGCAAUUCUGGGCAAUCGAUAUCAUAUGUAAUAUGUCCUACUCCACCUAUUAAUGAGAAUGAUUCUGGGAAAUUUCAAUUCAUUUAUCUUCACUUUGUUCUUCUUCUAGUUCUUUGAUUGGGGGAGGCUUCCAGGAGAAAUAAAAAAUCUCCCCUAUUCUCCAUCUAUCUCCUCUCUGUAACUUUGAAAGAUAGAGGGAUGAAUAAAGCAAUCCUAGGCAAUCGGUGUAAUAUGUAAUAUGUUCUACUCCACUUAUUAAUGAGAAUGAUUCUGGGAAAUUUCAAUUCAUUUAUCUUCACUUCUUUAGCUCCGAAUUGAGUUUCGGUUGAAGGGUUAUGUUCGUAUUAUUAUUAUUUGUGAUUCAUAGGAAUAAGAAUUGUCUAAUUUCGAGCUCGUAUGAUGGACUUGGAGUCAUUUUAGUGAUAAAUCGCUCUACUGCAAUUUUCUUUAAAAAGAUGCUGCAUUUAUGAACAGUGUACAGUAACCGCGCGUGAACAGUAAUUGUGCGGGUGAACAGUGAAUAGUGACCCCACGCGCGUGAAGAGUACCCUCGCGUGUACAGUGAUUCCGAAUUUUCUGGGCAGUGAUAUAUCCGAAAAUUUGGCAUUUUAGCCAUAUCUUGAGUUCUAGAGCUCCGAUUGAGGUGAAUUUCGCGGCGUUGUUUUCGUCUCAACAAGGGGGUAAAUAUUUGACCUUUAUUUUGAUGUUUCUCCAUGAUUAUUUCUGUUGGUUUCUAUUUUUCUCCGUAUUUGAAUGGUAAAAAUUGGGAUUUUGAGCUGCAAAGUUGAAAAAGGGUAAAUCCUUGAUUUGAGGGCCGAAAUGUUAUCGAAAUUUAGUAAUUUUGGUAUGGUUGGACUCGUGAGUGAAUGGGUUAUCAGAAAUUGGUUCGAGCCUUGUGUUUCGACCACGUGGGCCCGGGGUCGAUUUUCACUAUUCUGGACAGAAUGUUGCAGAAAAUAUUUUUAGCCAUUUGGAUUAUUUCGUCGAGUAGUAUUGAUGAUAUUAAAUCAAUGGUGGAUAGAUACAAUUGAAUUGGAACCAAAUCCGAAAGGAAAUGGCAUCGCUUAAGGAUUGAAUUUGCGGUAAACCUUCGAGGUAAGUGUUUGAUCUAUCCUAGCUUGAGGGAAUAGGAGUUGAGUUUAUUUGCUAAUU